AGCACGUGGCGCCUGACUCCCCUUGUCCCCUCAGGCCGGCCAUGGAGGCGGGCAUCGGCACCGGCCGCUCCCGGCCGCCGGGACCCCGGGAGCGGGGCAGGAACUGCGCUGGGGCUGCUGAAACGGCUGCCCGCAGAAAGAUGUCUUGAUGUAAAGAAGCCUGGUCUUUCCACGUAAAUGUGACACAAUUAGGACUGGGAGCAGGUCGCUCUUUGGAGAUGGCCCUAAUGUGAAGCUCUUCACAAGUCCUGUGGAAGGCAAUGAGACAGCAAGAGCAGGAGAUCUUCUGGGUGUUUAUGCUGAAAAGAUCUUGUCUGAGGAAGAAGGAAUCCAAUAAAACGUGCGUGAGCUUGGGAACUAGUGUUUGUAAAGACUACAUAUUUUUCUGCCCUAAGAUGUUAAGAAAUGGUAACGGUUACACCAUUUUGAUUACACAUAUAUUAAAAUUCUCUCAAAAAAACCCAACUGGGUCUGGUUUUUGU